AAACUAUCCCAGAUACCAUAAGCAUAAAGGUAGCCUCAGGGCGAGGCUUAUCCAUUGCACUCCAGAUGUGCUGAUCCCUGCGAUUUCCCCAAAUGCUGCAGGGAGCUCUGACUGCCUAAUUUGUGGUAGUGGGGGACUGCGUUCGUGCUCUCUCUCC